UUUUUGGCUUGUUUUAAAUUGAAAUCUAAUUGAUAAAAUGCACACCCCUAUAAUGCUUCCUUAGAGCAUUUUUAUGCCUAAAAGUUUGUCGCCCUGUUGUAUUUUCGGAAGUCAAUGAACAGUAGGUUGUUAAAAGUGAAAAUUUUGCUUGAAUUUUAGCGAAUGUUACAAGAAAUAUUUGUUUACAUCUUGCUUGCUCGUUAAACUGUUCGAAAAAUACUUUUAAUUACAUUUAGGGUGAUUAGUUUAGUUGUAAACAACCAUCAUGCUUCCUGGAUGGGCAAUAAUACUAAAAAAGAUGAAUCAACAACAUUCCAAUGAAUAAUAAAGUUGUUUGUGUUUACAACAAACGUUCAUAGAGAUAUGUGGCAAUUGACAGUAAUCUAAUCUAAAGAAAAAAUGGUACCGCUACCGGAAGAGUUCACGUACGAGUUUUGGCUCACGGGCCCUACCGAGUAUACAAGCUUGACCUGCUUGAUGCCGAACGGCGUCAUGAUCAUUCUGGAAACGAGCCACAAUGCCACGCUCGCCGAGAUCAAGGAAGAGCUCUGGGACGAGGCCACCAAGUAUCCGUUGUACGGCACCCUGCACGACAUGUCCGUCUACAUCUUCAUGUGCAUCAACAGCAUGGCCGAACUGGAGGAGCUGAUAGACGAAAAUCGACGACUCUGCGACAUACGACCGACGGGCGCCGUGCUAAAAAUCACCGAAUGCGUCGGCGAUAAGGCCGACAAUUCGCUCAACGUGCAAAUCGGACACCUGAUCGGCAAACGCUUACAAGAGUUCGAUGCGCUAAGCAGUCCGGAGAUAAACGAUUUUCGUUUCAAAAUGCGAAAGCUGGGGGACGAGGUCGCGCAGGAUAGAUCGAAGCGUAGCUGGGAGAAGAGGUUGUAUUAUCAAUUCGCUCCGAGGUUGUCUUUCGUUAGCGAGUCACGCGCGGACGCCAUCUGCCGGGGUGCUAAUUUGCAGAUUAUAUCGAAAUUCGAAUCCGUUGAUAACGCAUUUACGUUUAAUAUUCCGCAUUCUACCACACCCGUAAAACUACUAGAAACUAUUUUAGCUAAGAGAUCGUACAUUUUAAAUACGCGAGGGGAGAGCCCUCACGAUUAUGUUUUAAAGGUCUGCGGUCGGGACGAGUAUUUAGUAGGCGACUACGGCAUUAUACAAUUUCAGUACGUUCAGGACUCCCUGUUUAGAGAUAUAACGCCAAUUGUUGUUACCACAUCCGUGCAUAGUGUACCAAUGUUAAUAGAGAACGAUUACGAAAAAAUCAACCAUUUAGACAAUAAGAAACCUAGAUCGUCAUUUUCGACGUUAACACUAAGAAAGAAAGGGAAGCAUAAAUCGUCGUGGAACAUAGAAGAGAAUUUUGCCAUUACGCUUUGUACUAUUAGUGGACUCAACUGUGAUACGAAACGAAAUGUUGAGAUCGGCGUGCAAGUAGGAUUAUUUCACGGCGGAAAAUCGUUAUGCCAACCCCAGAAGACGUCGGAAAAGUUAGUGACUGAGAAAUGCGAGUGUCUACUAAACGAAACUUUAAAAUUCGACAUUAAGGUGUGCAAUAUUCCCAGAAACGCAAAACUGUGCGUUGUCGUUUACGAAGUGACGAAGAACUCGAAGGGAAACAAGACCAAACGAAUUAGGGAGUCCUCGAAUAAGGACGUGUACCCGAUCGUGUGGGGGAACACGACCGUGUUCGAUUUCCGUAGCCAUUUUAAAAGUGGCGCCAUGACGCUGUAUAUGUGGACGUACGCCGAGGAUAUGAUUAACGAUGACGUUUUUCAUCCUUUAGGCACCGUCGUUAGUAACCCUAAUACGAAGUACGCCACCGCCUUAACAUUAAUAUACGAUAGUUUCGGCCAAGAGCAGCAGACGAUCUUGUAUCCUAGUGUAGAAUCGGUAAUUAAUUAUGCUAAUGAUAAUGUAGAAAAAGAAGACUGUAGUCCUUUAUUGUCGAGUACCACCGAGCAAGAUAUUCAAAAUUUAGAGAAAUUGCUUUUAGAAAACGAUUCUUUGUACGAAAUGCACGAUCAGGAUAGGAAAAAGGUUUGGGGCCUGAAGCGGUACUGGCUUCAGCAGGUACCUGACAUUUUGCCCAAAAUUCUUCAGUGCAUCGAAUGGGAGGAUCGUAAGGCUGUUAGUGAAGUAAUAUCGUUACUGCAGGAGUGGCCCUUGUUGUCCGUAGAAAAGGCGCUCGAAUUACUCGAUUACGCGUAUGCGGAUCAUGAAGUUCGUAGCUUCGCCGUUAAAUGCCUGGUUAAUAUUAGUGACGAAGACCUACUCCUGUACCUAUUACAAUUAGUGCAAGCACUUAAGCAUGAACUGUACCUUGACUGUGAUUUAGUUAAAUUUUUAUUACAACGUGCUUUAAAUAAUCAAAAAAUCGGACACUACCUAUUUUGGCAUUUGAGGGCGGAAAUGCAAGUGCCGUCGGUGUCCGUGCGUUUUGGAUUAAUUUUAGAAGCUUACUGCAGAGGUAGUAGGGAACAUAUGCCGGGCUUGGCGAAGCAGUUGGAGUGUUUAGAACGAUUUAAGAAAAGUAGCGAGAUUGUUCGUAGUAAAAGGGACAAGGAUAAAGCGAGAGGUAGUUUCGUAGAGUAUUUGACUGAGCACAGCAUUGAGUUUAUUCGGAGUCCACUCGAUCCUAGCUUUAAAUGUAGUAAAUUGAAAGUCGACAAGUGUAGAGUAAUGGAUAGCAAAAUGAGGCCCUUAUGGAUCGUUUUCGAAAACAACGACUCUUUAGGCGACGACAUUUACAUCAUAUUCAAAAACGGCGACGAUCUCAGGCAGGACAUGCUGACGUUGCAAAUGCUGCGCAUCAUGGACAAGCUUUGGAAGCAGGAGGAUCUCGACUUAAGGUUAAACCCGUAUAAUUGCAUAUCAAUGGAGUACAAGGUCGGUAUGAUCGAGGUGGUUUUGAAUGCGGAAACGAUUGCGAAUAUUCAGAAGGAGAAGGGGCUGUUUUCGGCAACAUCUGCCUUUAAUAAGGGAUCUCUGUUAGCAUGGUUAAAGGAUCACAACACCACGGAGGCGGCGCUAAAAAAGGCGAUCAACGAGUUCACCUUGUCGUGCGCGGGCUACUGUGUCGCCACCUACGUCCUAGGAAUAGCGGACCGCCAUUCCGACAAUAUCAUGAUUAAAAAGACCGGCCAACUGUUUCACAUAGACUUCGGUCACAUACUGGGCCACUUUAAGGAGAAAUUCGGCUUUAAACGCGAACGUGUGCCUUUCGUCUUAACGCACGACUUUGUCCACGUAAUAAAUAAGGGACAAAAAAGCAGCUUGGAAUUCAAGGUGUUUCAAGAGUACUGCGAGAAGGCGUUCAUGAUUCUGCGCAAACACGGCGGUUUAAUACUGUCACUUUGCGCGAUGAUGAUUUCUACCGGAUUGCCGGAGCUCAGUUCCGAAAAGGAUCUCAAUUACUUACGUGAAACCUUAGUUUUAUCGAAAUCGGACAAAGACGCUUUAGCACACUUUCGAUUAAAAUUCAAUGAGGCAUUAUCAAACUCUUGGAAAAUGUCCGUAAACUGGGCGACACACAACUUAGCUAAGAAUAACAAAGUGUAGUUAGAAGUGUACGUACUUAGGUUACUUUUGAAUUGCCAAAUUAACUAAUACUAAAGUGCCAACAAAUCUCCUGAAGCGGCUGUUUCAGUCAGAAUCACAGGAACGCAAGCUGCAAUACGAGAAAUAAGUGGUGCAUGCUUGCAUUUGACUUGAAGAAAUGCAUGAAGGUGAAAAUCGAGAAUAAAUUUCAAGAGUAUGGAGCGGCCAACGUUAAUGAGAAAAAAAUCCACAAAUAAAUUGCAGCCGUCAUCAUCAGCAAACAACCGAUUCUUUCUUGUUUUUUCCAGGAACGUUUAAUCUCGCUAGCCAGCAAAAACUAGAACAUUCUGGAUGAUUUCCAGAUGGUUUUAGGAUGGCCAUAUUUUUUCGUUUCGGAACUUCCUAGGCUGCUGAAGUUUACGAGAUCCUUUUGGAAUUCUCUAGAUCCAGCGCUUUCUGUGCCUUUACCAUGUACUUUCUAGGACUUGAUCACGCCUUUUAAAUACCUUUAAAAAUGUAAAACGCUUUUUAGUACGUUUAAAUUUUUUCCAAAGGUCUAAAACGUUCCAACCUUGUAUCGUUCAUCCCAACCUUGUAUCGUUCAUCAUACCGCUCUUCGCGAUUUAUUCCAACACUUUUUGGCCUUUUUUGGAAUCCCACUCAAAGAUUUAUAGUUUCGGUUUAAAGGUUCAAGAGGUUCCACCCUGUAUGUAUAACCUAUGAUGAGAGCUGGCCACCUCGUAAUUACCAGGAGAGGAAAAGCAGUCUGCACCGUUUUCGAGAGCGCGAACAUUGGUUACGUUUGGCAUCUUGUUUUUAAUGGCGGCAUGGACGCAUCAUGCAGUAUAAGUUGUUAUUCUCGUCGUAUUUAAUGCAGUGUUAUUUGGGAUUAUUUGAGAACCACUUCAGUCGGCCCAACAUUACAAGCGGACAAUGCUGUUCUACGCCCUCCGAUCUGUAAAGGAUCAGCGUAAAUAGAGCAGGCUGUGUAACUAUUUACACGUUUUAAUUAAAAUUCGAAGUGUUGAGUGAAGACAGAUAUUAAAUCAAGCAUAAGCUCAUGCAGUUUGCGAUACAAAAUUAGACCUUUCGCUUGACCCGAAAAUUUUAAUUAACAAUGGGCUUUACUGGACUAUUGAGUUUUGGAAUUUUAAUCCGGCCAUUUAGGUGAGUAUAAUUAACCGUAGUUAAUUAAUUAUGUUGCAGCAAACGUUAUCAAAAUUGGUCGUGUUUGGUAUUGUUGGAAGCGCGCUUAAAUAGCACGAAUUUUGGGACUGGUUCCAGAUUUUUAUGAUAAUUGUAGGGAAUUUAAUUCUUACUUAUUUAAACAAUAUUUAUUUGAG